rnacentral:snRNA from 1 species
GUACUUCGAAAGUACAUACACUAAAAUUGGAAAGAUACAAAGAAGAUUAGCAUGGCCCCUGCGCAAGGAUGACACGCAAAAUCGUGAAGCGUUCCACAUUUUU